ensembl:lncRNA
CAGAUGUGAGAGCAGAGGGCCGUGUUCAGACGGAACGCCAGGCGGCCGGCACGCCAGGAAGCGGCGGGGAAAGGCCAUUGGCGAAGGCCGCGUGGUGUACAUUCGCAAUCUCGCCAGCGACAUGAGCUCCCGCGAACUGAAGAGGCGCUUCGAGGUGUUUGGCGAGGUCGUGGAGUGCCAGGUGCUCACCAGGAGCACGAGAGGCGAGAAGUGCGGCUUCGUCACCUACCGGCGCUCCGAGCACGCGGCGCUGUCCCUGCGGAAGGGCGCGGCCCUGCGGGGGCGCAGCGAGCCCUCCUUCCCGCUGAGCUCCGGGGGCCUCCGGCGCUUCUGCUGGCCCCGCUACGCCGACUUCGAUGCCAACUCGGAAGAGGCCCCGCCUGCAUCCGUGAAAACCAAGUACGAAGCCAUGGAUUUCGACAGCUUGCUGAGGGAGGCCCAGCAGAGCCUGCACUGACAACAGCCUUAACCUCGAGGAAAACCUCAAUACCUCAGACGGGCCCUUCCAACCUGUUUACGCUUUCAGAGAAAUUAAGGACAUGAGACGGAGCGAGAGCGAGCGAGCGAGCGAGAGAGAGAGAGAGAGAGAGAGAGAGAGAGAGACACGGGGAACUGCUGUCCUUUUAAAAGAAUAAUCAAUGUUUACAUUGAACAAAGCUGCUUCUGUGUGAGUUUCCACGGUGUGCACGCUCCACUGCCACAUCAGCGUCCUCGCUUCCCACGGGCUGUCCGGGAUGCCCUCGCCUCCUGACCGACGGCCCCUCCUAGACGUGCAGCUGUGUCCGCCAUGCGUUUCCGUCUGUAGUGCGUGACGAAGUCGUUACUCGUGAAUAGAAUCAGGAUUAUAAACUCAUUUUUAAUUGAAGAAAACAAAAGUAUAUCCUUUAAGUGAUGUGUUUAUGGCUCAGGUGUCCUGUGCCUGGGAUUGUCCUGUUGCUUCCUUGAUUUUUAACUACGCACUGUCGUGAGAUGUUUGCCACUCAGCUGCCCUGCUCCCUUGGCCAGAGGGCCCCAGAGGUGCUGGGGGGCCGGAGGGCUGGUCGCCGGGGAGUGUGGCGUGCAGCCAGCCCAGGAGCCCGGGAGGGGUUUCAGGGCCUCUCCUGCGGGGCCCUGCCUCGCGUCUCGUUGAGCGAGCCCGGGUCCGCGUAGAAUCAGAGCCCUCGUCUGGUGCCCGGCUCUCGCUGAGAGCUUGUGCCUGGCCCUGAGGGCUCGGAUCCUCGCGGAUCUUAGGGAAGAGGGGGGUGAGGCAGGAGGCUGGGGGCUUUUGCCCCGGGGUCCCCCGACCAGUGAGAUUACAGAGCACUGGCCCGGCCCAGGAGCCCAGGCCUCCCGAUCGCUGGUCCCAGCCUCCCUCAGUAGCUGGAGUGAAGAAGCGGGGUUGCAGGGCCUGGCAGAGCUGGGGCGGCCAAAGAGGACCACAGGCGAGACGCCUGCGGGCUCACCCUGGGGCGUCCGUCAGCGGCGGUCUCGUCAGCACGGGGCGAGUUCAGGCUCCGGCACCAGCCUUGAUCCAAAGGGUCCUGCCGUCCGCCUGCAGCUGUGGACCCGCCACCAGGGCUUCAGUGACGCCGUGGGCGUGACGCGGACAGAUCUGGGAGCAAGCCUGGCUUCACCCCUGCUCACACGGGUCGUUGUUUGGGGGCAGGGGGCACGGGGUGGGUGAUAAGACAGUCUCCAAGCUGAUUCCCGGACGGUCUGUUGGGCUUGACUGAAGGUUCGUGUUCUUGAGUGACGUCGAAGCCGCGUCCGGGGUGUCCCGUGGGUGCCUUGGGGGUCGCCUUGGGGCAGGCCAAGCGAGCGUGUUUCUCUGCUUCAGACAGAGCGGCUCCAGGUGCAUCUCUUUCACGCCCAGCUUCCUCGGGAAGCUUUUGUGUGUCCAAGAAAGAAGCAGAACGGUCCUGCCGCUUUUCUUUAGAGUUUGAACUUGACUCAUUAAACAAAAACUAGCUGAUUUAAUCCAUUAUUAAUACCGGGCCUCGUUCUUUGAGAAUUGGUCGUCAUGGGGCUUUUUUGGUUGCUUUUUAAGAUUAUAAAAUACCUCAGUAGCUUCACUGGGCUGAUACGCCAGGCCCCCCGAGGAGGUGGAGGAGACCAGCCUGGAAGGGGAGUUUGAGUUCCUGUGCAUCAAACCACAGCCCCUCUGGGCCCCAGUUUUCUUUGCUGUGCGAUGCGCGGAGGCGGGGACAACUAGGCCCUGCCGGCUCUGACAGCUGAGCGUCCCACGUGGCACACGUACCUCCACUCCCACAUCCUUGGCCAGUGGCAGACAUAACCAGUCGGCCCCAGGCCUCGCGUUCUUUGAGCUUGCUCAUGCUGUUGGGACCUCGGCUCUGUGCUCUGAGCAGCCGUCCCUGAUUGGUCUGCAGUUCCGCCUCUUUCACGUCCUGGUCUGAUCUUUGAAAGGUGCCUGUCUUACAGAGCCAUACGGUGGCCGGGUGUCAUGCUGGCCCAUUCCUCUCUGUCACAUCCUGAUCUGUGGGAGAAAGUUCCUUUGAAGCCAUUCCUUGGCCCAGGACUCCCAGCACUACUCUGCCACGUAACCCCACCCGGGGAUGGGAGCCAGGUGGGAGAGUGGCCGUAAGCAAGUUUGGGAAGGCAGCGUUUGUCAGUUUGUCGGGAUGGACCAGGAGGGGGCUUUCCACGGCACGGGCUGAGCACUCUCAAUUCCUGUUCCAGCUGCUCACUGCCUAGCAUCCAGUAGGCGUACAAUAAAUGGCUGUGGACUAGAACUUCAGUCCACCCGAUGCCCCCUUAAGGUCUGCUCUGCAUCGGCAGUAAACUGAGCCUUUGUCGCGUGGAAGCUCAUGGGGACGCAGUUACACGCAGGGUCUGGAGAGCUGGGUUGAGUCCUGGCUCCACCAAGAGCUGCCUCUGUGACGUUGUGGCUCGCGGUGUCCCUUCCGCUCGUGGAGCCUCUGUGUGUCACAAGGAGACGGAGCGCAUGACCUCUGCCCCGCGCUGGCUCGUCUCUGAUGGCAGCGCGGCUAGAUGGCAGUGGAGGGUGAAGGAUGCGGAUUUUCAGGGAGGGACGAGCAUUGCAGGUAGUUAGACUUUGGCCUUGAGCAGAGCAGAGAUCUGAGGUCGCGCUGGGAUGGGAGGAGCCCAAGGUCACGGCCGGCCGGGGCCGCUGCUGGGGGAGGGCGCCGGCCGCGGGCGCAGAGCGGCUUCUUCCCGCCGUCUGUGCAUGAAAGGCUCUGCCACGGCCCGCGCCUGCGGCCAGCCUCCAUCUGGAAGACUUACUCGGUGCUGAGUCUCCCUCACCAAGGAGACUCCAAGGAUAGCUCGGCAACCAUGGCCUUUGCCCCCAGACGAAGGGGUGGCCCGAGGGAGCAGCUGCCACUGGCAGGCGGCUGGCUGUCUGUGCUAGCGUUUGCUCGCCGUCAUGUGUACCUGUGACUUGCCCUGAAAGCCUGCAGUAGACCGUGUGGGUAGCGCCCCCACGAGGAAGCCUGUACCGUCGUCUCUGUGCCGGGCAGCUAUUUUCAGCCGCUGAGUGGGAUUCUUCCAUCUCCUUCCUCAGUCGCCGCGAGGCUGGAUCGGAUCCCUCUCCAGGGCUCUGGUUACCCAAGGAAAAUGCAUCACGGCGGUGGAGCGUGAGCGGCUGGAGAGCAGCUGAGGCCCCCGCUCCCUGACCCCGUCACCCCAUGUCCCCCCAGCACUGCUUUGCGACAUAGCAGCCGUCAGGUGUCUGCAUCGGCUGGGCGCCCUCGAAGCCUUGGGUGUGGAGCGCACCCCGCAGAGAGCCGGGCCUUUGGGGGCUCCGGGGGCAGGAAGGGAGGGAGCCUCCGGGCCGCACAGGCUGCGUCCCCAGGUCCGAUGCAGGGAGAGGGGCGGGAUAGGAAAUCUUUCUCACCUAAAGCCUGUGCUUGUGGCUGCUGUGGUUUCUUCGAGCUGAUGCCGUCUGCGUGCUGAGGGCGGGGGAGGCGUGACAGCGCGGUCCCUCUGCGUGGACACCCGGGAGCCCCACCCCCGGCCUCGGGUUCAGCUGAAUCCCAGCCGAGCCUGCAGCCGGAGAGCUGGGGCAUCCACACCAUGAAGCAGAAUCAACCCCAGAGGACUUGUGGGUCUGACUCGCUGGCGUCAAAACCGCGGUGUUUCCUCAGCCCUGAGGUUCAUCAGUUUUCCUCUUCGGCGACCAAGAGCGAAACUGGGCGGAUGGUAGCGCGUCAAGAGCACCUGAUGGCUUCAGUGGCCGGACGAGGGGACCCUUCCCACCGGGGCGGACGGGAGCCGGCUGCUGCUUACGUGCAAUAUGCUUAACGCUGGUCGCCAGGUCCCCGAGUCGUUUGCACGUGGAGAUGAGCUGCUGGUCCGGGGGUGCAGAGGAGGGGGAGGGCUCAGGAGCUGGGGGGCCCUUGUACACGGAGAUGCUCUUGGCCCCAAACAGACACGGGCUGGGGAGCCUUCUGGGAGCCAGCCCUGGAAGGUCCUAGGAAGCAGGCGGAGGCCAAUAAAAGCACUUUGAGAAAAACCGCAAGCCUUCAGCCUGGCUCCACGUUUCCACACUGGCAAACCCGGAUCUCCUGGAGCUCUGAAGUGUGCUCUCCUAGGGGUUGGCAAGGGGCCUCAGGACAGGGGGCUCCUGGACGUCAGCAGCAGGAGGGCCCAUCCCAGGGCCAGCCUUUUGCUGGCUUCUUUAUUGGAGGCCCUACAAAUGGGACGGUGCUUUCAGAUCUUGGUACCUAUUUUUGUAUUCUAAACACACCGCAGCAGCGCAGCCAGUUGACACGGGUGUGCAAAGCAAGUCCUUUAUCUCUAAGCCGUCUCCAAGCGAGAAGUCCUAGGUUUCUGACUUGCCCUGUGAUCCUGGGCCUCCGUUUCCUCAUCCAGCAAAUGGGAAUGCCGGAUGGGCCGGCCGCCUCCGACAGGCUCCGUUCCCAUCCUGGAGCAUCGGGAGUCUGUCCCCAGGCUCUCAGACCAGGUGCAGCCUGUGUGCUUGCGGUCACAGUGACCGUUCUCUGCACGGUGUAACCCAACGGCAGUGGAUUCAAACCCACAUGGUCCUGGCCGAGGUACCCUCCCCAAGGAGGCCGGCUCUCCAGGACAGACCUAAGCCAUAGCUACAGGUGGGGACGGUGAGACGACCAGCCCCAGCCUGAGGAGGUGGCCGUGGUGGCAGUGGCGGGUCUCACNNNNNNNNNNNNNNNNNNNNNNNNNNCACUGCCCCCUGAUGCUCUCGGUCCAAGCCUCGUGGUCUCCUUGGCUGUUUUUCUCUCGCUCAGACAGUACUAGCAAUACACUUUUUCCCCCCAAAAGCAGCUUAACUUAGGCACUUUUCACACCCUUCAUUCACGUGGUUGUGAAGCACACGGGCUGACAGCAGGCAGGGAUCGCCCUGCGUAUGUUAGGGCAGCUUUGGUGUCUGGUUUCUCUGACGGUGUGGCAGCGGUGGCUGAGCUUCGAGCUGGGGGGCCGGAUUCCCAGACAGGCCGUUUCGUCAGAACGCUCGCCCGUUCGGAAGCAGCGGCCCCCACGGGGGCUCGGCCCGUAGGGCUUUGUAGGGGGUCAGACCCUGAGCUGUGCAGCAGCGCCUCCGAGAGGGGUCUGUGUAGCUCGAACCCUCUGCGCUGUCUGGUUUGUCGAAGGGCCUCCAGGGAGGCCGAGGAGAGCCCCCUUUUCUCUUGGCCAGCCUUGCCCUUGGGUGACUUUUGAAGGGAUAGGUCCGCGUCCCCUCAGCGCUUUGCCUUAUCAACGUCUCGUCCUCGCCGUCUAGGGGCCAAAGACUGUGUCCACCAGCUCCCCAGACGGAAGGCAGAGUCUUCCCACCGCCUGCCGUCCAGCAGGGACACGAGCGAGCUGUGCGUGUGCUUAGAGCCCAGCGUAGCACCCGUCAAGCCCCAAACAGCCUCUCGUUGGGCCCUCAGGCCAACCGAGAAGUGGGACUCGAGCCGUCCUGUCCUGCGGCAGUGGAGACGGGAGUGGCCCCGGGGCCCGGAGCCUGGGAGGGGUUUACUGUAACCGCAAUACUGGCAGCCCAGCUGCUGACCUUGAGUGAACCUCUGCUAGGCGGCCCCCCCGGACCCUCGGGACGAGCACAGAGGUGGAGUGAGAGGAUUCCGUGGGGGCCUGGCCAUGGCCUUUGAUGGGGUCCACCGAAUAACCAAACCGAUUCUGUUUGUUUCUGUGUUUUGUAUUUUAAAAUCUUGUCAAGUGUUUUUUUGUGUUAGGAAAAAAAAGUCAUAAACUCCUCCCAGCUUUGUUUCCUGAGGGAUGCCCCGACUCCCAUGGAGGGGUUGGGAAGGCCAGGGAGUGGGCGUCAGGGUGGUCCGGGGGCCCGGGGAGUGGACACUUGGGUUUCCAGGCGGCUUCUGGGGGAGACGACCCCCCGGAGCCGGGCUCGGUGAGCCCUGCUCCGGAGGGCACAGCCACGCCGCACCUCCUUGUGCUGCGGUGUUCGCCUUGGCUUGGAGCACCUGCUUCUCCCAGGGGCAGCUGCUGCCGUGGACACCAACACGAGGCGCGCCUGCCCAGCCCCCGGGCUCUCAAGGGACGGUGUCUGUAGCGAGCCUUAACCGCCUGGGCAAGGCGGUCCCUGUCGUCCUUCCAGCAUUUCCAAAUCUCGGACUCGAUUCCUUUUCUCUUGGUGAGACCAUGCAGCCUCGAGAAUUCUGAGCAAUAGGGAGCCAGGGUUUCCCCCGGCUCUGUGACAGGGGCACGCCAGGGCACGACUGACUGCGUGAGGUGUGGGCUUGCUCAGGGUCCCACCGCAGGGGCAUUAUUUAUUAGGAGGCUCAGCAAGGUAACUGCAGCCUGGGGUGCAUGAGCGCAAGGCUGUGUGUGUGUGUGCGCGCGCCCGCGUGUGUGUGUGUGUCUGCACGUGUGCACGCCUGUGUGUGUGUGUGUGUGUGUGUGUGGAAUUACAUUGAUGCAUUUCUUGAGAAAGGUGCAAGAAUUUCACCCACACAGAGGGACACAUCUGCUUUGUUAUUUAUAAUAGAAAGCUAAAUUUUAAUUUUUUAAAGGACACUGCUAAUGAUUGAGAAUCGAGUUUUUAGUUUUGCUAUUUUUUUUAAUUGGUAGAGGAUUUUUAUAUAUUUUUUCCAUUUUGUUGGGUUGUGUCCUUAUUUAUAUAAAUACUUUAUCUGUGAGAGGCAAGGAGGAAAACCUUCUUUGCUUUUAAUUACUGUGGUUGUCAUCCUCCCUAUUUUAUUUCCGGUGUGAUUUCUCCGUCUUACCUUCUAAAUGAGAAAACGUUUUCCUGUAUUUGUACAUUGUCAGAUUCUAUAGUUUCAUAGAUAAUUUAACCAAACUGCUCUAUGUAUUAUUAUUCCGUUGAGUACAAAGUUCUAUUUUAACGUCUGUAAAUACUUCGGAACUGGCUUCUUUUCUCCGACUCCCCCCGUGGAGCUACUGUUUACAUCACAGAAACUGUAGAAUCUCUGCCCAUGUCCUGUAAGUAGUGAUCUGCUUAUUACACAUGAACCUGACAAGGACACUAUGGAGAUUAAAAGAAAAUACCGCCC